UCGGGAGUUUACCGUUUUCGGGACUUUCAUUCCCUCCAUUCAGGCAAUCGGUUAAACAAAGUGGUCCUGAUAAGGGAAACUGAACGGCGUUCGGUUAUUUGUGCUGGGAUCUGAGCGCAAGUUCACUUAACUGUGUGACCAGGUCCCAGCUAUGUAAUAAAUGGUUAAAUAGCUAUCUAGCAUAAAUAUUAUGUCGGUUAUAGAUUUUAAUAUAAAAACUGUAUUUCUCUGUACCAAGGGAUAAUCCCAU